UUUACUUAGUCAGCAGAAUGCUGUGUCUCUGGGUGCUUAGUGGACCCCUGGGGAAUCGAGAGAAACAAAAGCAGAAGUGGCAGCCGCUGCAAAUGUGGGAGUCUGUGCCAUUAAAGGAAGCAGUUGCUAAUAAGGGCCUGUGAGACCCAGGUUUCCUUGGUUUCCAUGACAGUUAUUAGAACUGAGCUUGGCAAAGCAAGGAUAUGAACAAUUGUGCAGGUGGGCUACUCAGGGCGAGUGAAGAGAUAAGGCAUCCAAUCAGGGACUGGCAACCUGCAGCCCUGCCAGUAUGCCCCUCCACCAGAUAUCCGUAAUCCCCGCACGGGAGACCGCCAGCAAUGGGCGAAGUUCCAUGGGCAGAAACAAAGAGAAGAACAAGGAAGUCGAGAAUUUCAGAAUUUGAAAAGGCAA